UGGUAUUUUAUGUGUUGAUUAAAUAUAUAUUACUUCGCGUCUCUUCAAUUGCAGUGUCCGACCGUUCCUCUCCCAAUUGCCGUUGUCCGUCCGUCCGGUCCUCUCUUGCUGCUUUCGAACGACUCACUCACUCCUCCAACACAAUCUCCGGCGACGAGCAUGGCAGGGUCUUCAUCACGCCAACCCAAUUGACCGAGGUGUGGAUCGUCUGCUCGCAUUCCAGGGAUCUAUGCAACAUCUUUGGCUGCCUUCUAUAACCAGCUACUGUAUGUAAUUUUAUUUUUGGAUCUUUUGUGUAAACAUCUCACAUUCAGUUUUCUUUUUAUUUUACUUGCUUGUGUGCUAUGUGUUUCAAUAUUUAAAAAUUUAUGUAUGUUAAUAUUUUCACUUCAUCUGAACAUAGAAGUUGAAUAGGAUUCUAUUUACUACAUAUAAUUUUCAACAAAUAUGUCAAAGUUUGGAUGAAAUUUGAGAUGAAAGUCAAUCUUAAUGAACCAAGUUCACAUGAUGAAGGUCAGACAACUUUAAAUUUUUAUGUUAAUUGGAAAAAAAGUUAGUUUAGGCAGAAUAACAAAAGCAUGCAUCUGCAAAAAAAAAUCUACAAAACUGCAACAGCCUCUACUCCAAUGCAAAGCCAUAAAACCCACUAUAGUGUAUCCCUUAAAGAACCAGUAGUGCUGCCUUCCAUGGAACAUCUCCACGAACUUUUGCUACCUCAUUCUUCACCAAGAUUGUGAAAUGAAGGUGAAAUAUUCAUUGUCAUUAUACAUUGCUGAUUAAAUACUUGAUUCAUAGAGAAAAGGACAACGUAGGGACAGAUGAGUCUGAGAUUUGAUUAUCUGACCUCAUCUUCAUUCUGUUAUAGAGUCAAUGGAGGGAAGUGAACUUUUCAUUCCUGCUCUUGUCUCAUUUUAUUUUAUUUUUUAAAACUCUAUUGUCAAUUGCAGUUUGCUAAACUGGUCCCUUGUUUUUUCAGCUUCUAACGCAAACCUACAUGGCAGUUGUAUGAAAAUUUCUUGUAGUAUUGCAGUUCUGUAACAGUGUUCCCAUAUAAUUUAUGUAACUUUGUUCUUUAAUCUAUCAGUUUUGUAAUAGAACAGCUAGGGUAUCAUAAUUAUAAUUUACAGAUUCAAACUUUAA